rnacentral:rRNA from 1 species
GGGUGAGUAACACGUGGGUAAUCUGCCCUGCACUUCGGGAUAAGCCUGGGAAACUGGGUCUAAUACCGGAUAGGACCUCGAGGCGCAUGCCUUGUGGUGGAAAGCUUUUGCGGUGUGGGAUGGGCCCGCGGCCUAUCAGCUUGUUGGUGGGGUGACGGCCUACCAAGGCGACGACGGGUAGCCGGCCUGAGAGGGUGUCCGGCCACACUGGGACUGAGAUACGGCCCAGACUCCUACGGGAGGCAGCAGUGGGGAAUAUUGCACAAUGGGCGCAAGCCUGAUGCAGCGACGCCGCGUGGGGGAUGACGGCCUUCGGGUUGUAAACCUCUUUCAGCAGGGACGAAGCGCAAGUGACGGUACCUGCAGAAGAAGCACCGGCCAACUACGUGCCAGCAGCCGCGGUAAUACGUAGGGUGCGAGCGUUGUCCGGAAUUACUGGGCGUAAAGAGCUCGUAGGUGGUUUGUCGCGUUGUUCGUGAAAUCUCACGGCUUAACUGUGAGCGUGCGGGCGAUACGGGCAGACUGGAGUACUGCAGGGGAGACUGGAAUUCCUGGUGUAGCGGUGGAAUGCGCAGAUAUCAGGAGGAACACCGGUGGCGAAGGCGGGUCUCUGGGCAGUAACUGACGCUGAGGAGCGAAAGCGUGGGGAGCGAACAGGAUUAGAUACCCUGGUAGUCCACGCCGUAAACGGUGGGUACUAGGUGUGGGUUUCCUUCCUUGGGAUCCGUGCCGUAGCUAACGCAUUAAGUACCCCGCCUGGGGAGUACGGCCGCAAGGCUAAAACUCAAAGGAAUUGACGGGGGCCCGCACAAGCGGCGGAGCAUGUGGAUUAAUUCGAUGCAACGCGAAGAACCUUACCUGGGUUUGACAUGCACAGGACGCCGGCAGAGAUGUCGGUUCCCUUGUGGCCUGUGUGCAGGUGGUGCAUGGCUGUCGUCAGCUCGUGUCGUGAGAUGUUGGGUUAAGUCCCGCAACGAGCGCAACCCUUGUCUCAUGUUGCCAGCGCGUAAUGGCGGGGACUCGUGAGAGACUGCCGGGGUCAACUCGGAGGAAGGUGGGGAUGACGUCAAGUCAUCAUGCCCCUUAUGUCCAGGGCUUCACACAUGCUACAAUGGCCGGUACAAAGGGCUGCGAUGCCGCAAGGUUAAGCGAAUCCUUUUAAAGCCGGUCUCAGUUCGGAUCGGGGUCUGCAACUCGACCCCGUGAAGUCGGAGUCGCUAGUAAUCGCAGAUCAGCAACGCUGCGGUGAAUACGUUCCCGGGCCUUGUACACACCGCCCGUCACGUCAUGAAAGUCGGUAACACCCGAAGCCAGUGGCCUAACCCUUUGGGAGGGAGCUGUCGAAGGUGGG